GAUGAACGCUGGCGGCGUGCCUAAUACAUUCAAGUCGAGCGAACAGAUGAGGAGCUUGCUCCUCUGACGUUAGCGGCGGACGGGUGAGUAACACGUGGAUAACCUACCUAUAAGACUGGGAUAACUUCGGGAAACCGGAGCUAAUACCGGAUAAUAUAUUGAACCGCAUGGUUCAAUAGUGAAAGACGGUUUUGCUGUCACUUAUAGAUGGAUCCGCGCCGCAUUAGCUAGUUGGUAAGGUAACGGCUUACCAAGGCAACGAUGCGUAGCCGACCUGAGAGGGUGAUCGGCCACACUGGAACUGAGACACGGUCCAGACUCCUACGGGAGGCAGCAGUAGGGAAUCUGCCGCAAUGGGCGAAAGCCUGACGGAGCAACGCCGCGUGAGUGAUGAAGGUCUGCGGAUCGUAAAACUCUGUUAUUAGGGAAGAACAAAUGUGUAAGUAACUAUGCACGUCUUGACGGUACCUAAUCAGAAAGCCACGGCUAACUACGG
rnacentral:rRNA from 1 species